UCCUUCCUUCCACCCCCCGGGGUGCGGCAUUGGAACACAGUCGGUGGUACUUCACGACCAACUGGUUCUCAAAAGUAAUGACGGCGUCCGUGGGACCCUCGAUACAACGAGUUCUUUCGGGAGCAUGUAUCGAGUUGCAAGGUCCUUCCGGGUCGGUCCAACCCCAAAUAUUUUUUCA
rnacentral:misc_RNA from 1 species